AUGGGCCUGAUGAUCAGCUGCCACACACCUCAACGAUCAAAAGCCCACCGACUUAUUACAGUAGCCAGCCCACUCGUGUGGUCAGUCACGUGGCCGAGUGGCAGAGUUGCCGCUGGACACCUUCUUCCGUCCCGACGGCCGGCCGCAUCCAAUUUUCCUCGCCGCAGGGCCUGCCUCGCCGCCCGCUGCUGCCAGCGCACUCCGGCGUCUCGCAGCGGCGGUCACCAGACACCGACCCCAACACCGCCUCCCUCCUCUCUGCGCCCGCCCCAUCUCAUCCCCCCCACUCCACGCCCUCCCUUGCCGCCCGCGCUCGCUCGACUCCCUCCUCGCCGCGCCCUCCCACGCCUGCACUCCUCUUUUGCCCUCUCCCUCCCCGAAUGCCACCGCUUUCCGCGCCCCUCCGUGCCAAGCAAGCCUCUUUCGCGCCCCCACUCUUCCCCGCCCAGGCAACCGGACUCCCUCGCCGCGUUCAACUCCCCCCCUUGGCCGCGCUCGCCCGCGUCUGCCCGUGACCUCCCUGGCAUGACCCAGCUCUUUUCCUCCAUGCGGGACGCCGGCGUCCGGCCCGACGUCGUCACGUACGGCGUGCUAGCCAUCGGGCUCUGCCAAGCCGGCCGCGCUCAGGGCGCUCGACGGAAUGCCCGGCCCAAACUCUGGCGUUCGCCCGGCUCGGAUGUCGUCAUUCAUGCCGAACACGGUCGUGGAUGGGAUGCGCAAGAGCGGGAGGAUCCAGGCGGCCGUUGCGUUCGCGGAGGACUGCUGCUUGGCUGA
rnacentral:rRNA from 1 species